AUGGAUCACUCACCUCAUGCUCUGGGCAUUCAUGAUUCCAGUAAACAGCUCAACUUGAGGUCAUCAUCUACAAAUCACUCGCCAUGCCACAACUCCUUUUCCCCUGUUCCCAACGCAAAUUCCUAUCCUACGGCUGCCAUUUCAGAGUCAAGACACCCAACCAUUCUGAUGCAAUGCAUGUUUGAAGCAGCGCUUUGGGUACUGCCCGAGAAAACCAGUUCCUGGGCGAAUAUCGCGUUUCCAGUACCCCACGAGAAAGCAACUUCCCAAGAAAAAAAAAUUCGAAUUUUUGAAUUUGAAUUAAUUUUGACGAAUUUUGUUCAGAUUCAAAAAAAUAAAAAAUAA
rnacentral:rRNA from 1 species